rnacentral:misc_RNA from 1 species
AAGAAGCCGAAUGAACUCAGCUGAGCGACUCGAGAUCGGCACAGUCGAGGUCCGCAAUCCAGAUCGGUCAAUUGAUCCAGUUCCCUCACCAUCAUCAGGCAAGGUUAUGCGAUCACCAGGGUCGUAAAUUUUCAGUCGAGGAGUAAGGAAGCCCAUCGGAAAAGGAUCAAAGCCACGGUUAUAGCCGGAACUUCCGCCGGAGCAGCUAGAACUGGGAAGUAAGAAGGAAGAGAGGAAAUGGGAUGAAGGGAAGUCUCUUUCGUCUGGGGUAUAUAUAGGGGAAAACGGG